rnacentral:tRNA from 1 species
GCAUCAUUGGUCCAGCGGUAGGAUAUUUGCCUUCCAUCUACUUCAAGUAGGGCGAGCAAAUGGCUCGGGUUCGACUCCCGGAUGAUGCA